rnacentral:snRNA from 1 species
AGCUUUGCGCAGUGGCAGUAUCGUAGCCAAUGAGGUUUAUCCGAGGGGAGAUUAUUGCUAAUUGAAAACAGAAAAAGGACAUUUAAAAAUUUUAAAAUAAUCAGAGACAGUGAAAAAAGUCA